rnacentral:rRNA from 1 species
UGCGUAGGCGGCUUGACAAGUCAGAUGUGAAAUCCCUGGGCUUAACCCAGGAAGUGCAUUUGAAACUGUCUGGCUCGAGUAAGGGAGAGGAAAGUGGAAUUCCUGGUGUAGAGGUGAAAUUCGUAGAUAUCAGGAGGAACACCGGUGGCGAAGGCGACUUUCUGGCCCUAUACUGACGCUGAGACGCGAAAGCGUGGGUAGCAAACA